rnacentral:sRNA from 1 species
GGACAUUUGCCGUCAACUAAAAACUCUUCUCCAUAUGGUUGAGGAAUGCAUUAGAGCGAUUCUAAACU